ensembl:lncRNA DDX19A-DT DDX19A divergent transcript
GGGCCUCGCCUUUCCCUUCGUGCGCAAACCUCGCGCUUUUUGCUCACCCUUCCAGGACGCGGCCUCCUCGCUUCUUAAAAUGUCUGAGCUCUACGAAGUGGAACUGUUAGCCCUCCGUUUAUUGCCUUACUUCACACUGAAAUAAGCCAACGUUUAUUUUAUUUUAUUUAUUUUAUUAUUUAUUUUAUUAUUUUUUUUCGAGACGGAGUCUCGCUCUGUCCCAGGCUGGAGUGCCGUGGCGGGAUCUCGACUCACUGCAACCUCCGCCUCCGUGUUCAAGCUAUUCUACCUCAGCCUCCCGAGUAGCUGGGAUUACAGGUGCCCGCCACCACGCCCGGCUAAUUUUUGUAUUUUUAGUAGAGAUGGGGUUUCACCAUGUUGGCCAGGCUGAUCUCGAACUGCUGACCUUGUGAUCCUCCCGCCUCAGCCUCCCAAAGUGUUGGGAUUACAGGCGUGAGCCACCGCGCCCGGCCCCCAACGUUUCUUUUUAAGCCUGUCAUAUCUCACAUUAAAUGUGUAAGUCUCUGAACUGUAGGGCUUUGAACAAAGGAAAGUUCCAUGAGAAUACUAUAUGAUGCCAAUUUCUACUGUUAGGAACGCGAUAACAGAGUGCAGUGGGGGAGAAAAUACCGUCCUCAAGAUCUGAGAAACUGGAGAGGAAAAGUCACAGGACAACCAACUUCUCUAUGACAUAGCCCAGCAUCUGAGGAAAGUCCUGCAAUAGUGGAGGUGGAGCAGAGGGUAUGAGCUGGGAAGCAAAUGGAGCAGGAGCUGGAGGCUGCCCCAUCCACUCCAAGCCAGAGAACAAGCAGAGGCUGCCACAGGAGAUCCUGGGCAAGUAAUCAGCCACAGCAUCUAGAUUAGCAUGAAGGAAACACUGGCCAAAUUAAAAGAUGAAACUUCCAAAAGUGCAAAGGGGAAGAGUCAGAAGGUGAAUAAAUACUCACAGCCGAAGCUCUUCAAAAGACUUCACCGAGUACAGAGGGGAGUUUGGAUCCCGCUGCAGGACUUCCACUUGGUUUGUGUUAUCAACAAGGUUGCUUCUGAUCAGCUUGUUGAGUAAGGACUGGGCAGCUCUGUCCUCUGUCAGGAAAAAGAAAGCAAAGAAUUUUAAAAAGUCCUUGAAACCUACCAGGCGUUUACUCUAAUUCAACUGCCAUUUGUAUUUUAAAUAAUAAUGUACUGAACAUUCAAAUUCAAGGUACGUCAUAGUUUUGACUUAUAAAUUAAAAUAGUUUUAUUAAAGAAAAAAGUUAUGAUACAUCACCCAUUUAGGCCUCAUAUUCUUUUCCAGACUCUAUUCUAACAGCCCUCUUUUCCUGCAGUUAUCUAUUCCUCCUAUCCAGACCCACAUAUUUACUCCCCAAUUUGUACUAUAUAUAAACCUAAAGUAAUUAAUGUAGCAAUCACAACAAUAAAAAAAAAAACAGGAAUUAACAAAGUCUGUACCUUAAUAUUGGACAAGUUGGUCUCGUCAUCCAUGUCAAAUGUGUCAAAAUAACAUUAAGCUUAAUUUUACUGGACAAUAGAGAUGCAACUGAAAAUUUUUUAUAAUGCCCUAUUCAACUGUUCAGUUGUUAAAUGUAAAAUUUCUCUAAACGUAAACCAUU